UACGUAGGGGACGAGCGUUGUCCGGAUUUAUUGGGCGUAAAGAGCGUGUAGGCGGCCUUACAGGUCAGCUGUGAAAACUCGAGGCUCAACCUCGAGACGUCGGUUGAAACCGUAUGGCUAGAGUCCGGAAGAGGAGAGUGGAAUUCCCGGUGUAGCGGUGAAAUGCGCAGAUAUCGGGAAGAACACCCGUGGCGAAGGCGGCUCUCUGGGACGGUACUGACGCUGAGACGCGAAAGCGUGGGGAGCGAACAGG
rnacentral:rRNA from 1 species